UUCAAAGUCCCAUGGGAGAUGGAGGACCAUACUCAUAUCUUAUCACUAUUGAAUCAGGGUAGGGGCGGCGAAACUUCUUAUCGAGAAGGAAAACUUUAAACAGAGAAAGAAUCUUAACAAUAAUGAGGCCUUGGGGCACAAUAUAUUCCAGAGAGAUAAUAGAUUGCAAGUUGCCAAGAAAUUCUGCUAGUAGGCAUUGGGGCACUACUGAUAUUCUCAUCGUCACGAUGCUUCACAGCGACCUUCUUUGCCUAGGUAUUGAAAUGGUCUUGAGUGAUCAUUGCUGAGAAUUUACCCGGAGUAGCUUACAAGGAAUCUGUAUGAAAAGGAAGGUAAAAGAGUAAGCAUUUUAAUUUGUUACAAAAUUACUGUUGAUAUUUGGAACCCUUAUCCCCAAAUCUAGCAAGAAACAAAAACUAAGUAUUCUGAUUCCUCUCCUAGUGGUUGCUCUCCUUUUGCAACUUGGAAAAGAACCCGAACCUGAAGUAAUCACUCUAUAAUGGAAGUUUCUGUAGCUCAAAAUGUUUUCGAAGGAUUUUCGAGGAUAGUGGUGAGAUAUUAUUAUCAACAAAAGAAUGAUCCCUUUACAAAAUUGGAUUCGGACAAACUUUACGCAAAAGAAGGAAAUGGCAUAUUAUCACCAGGAAUCCAUAAGAGCUAGUCCCAUUUGAGGGAAAAAAGUAUCCACAGACACAAGCCUGGUCCAAAAUCAGCCAUAGUAGCAGCCUAUAACAGUAGAGUUCUUUUUAUUUUCUUGUUUCUCGGAAUCUUUGAAUAAAGAACUUAGGAAAUGGAGAAUCUCCAUGCUCAGGGGUUUUUAUUGGUUGAUGAGAGAAUAUAUAAGGAAAAAGAUCUUAAUCAUUUUCUUUUAAGAAUUGAUCUUAAUCUUCUUCUCAUCUGACAUUGUUACCAUAGAACUGUUGUUUUUGUUCUUUUUUUUAAGAGUGAUUUUAUCAGUAAACUGCCA
rnacentral:misc_RNA from 1 species